GGGGCAGUAUUGAUUAGACUAACAGUACUGUAAUGUAUUUGAUUUUGUAAAACUACCACUAACUACGUGUUAUACGUCUCUCUCUCUAACGUGUGAUUUGGAAACAUCACUGACGUCAUCGCGUCACUAUGUCUGCAUCUGGCCUGGUAUUUUAGGGGGUUCACUCGGGGGGGAUUUAAGACGUGACGUGGGGCUGCCGUUUUAAGCAUCAACUACAAAUGAAUCCAGUGUGCCAUCUAUUGGGCAGUAAUGGAAAAAGUUGCAAAGGAUACGUUUCUGACGCAAUGCUAUAUUUAAACACUUGGUGGCAAUGCACUUCACGUAUUUAUUGAAGAAUGUCAUCCAUUAUGGUCUACAUACAUUUGUAUCUAAUAAUAACUCAGAAAGGCAGGUGGUUCCUUUUGUAAUCUGGCCUCAGUGAUAGGGCAACAUAGCUGGCUCUUAAGCAUUAAUAUCUAGGUCACCUUAUUAUAUAAGCUUAUUUUUAUGCAGCUCCACAUUUUGUAUGAGGUGCUUCUGCACAAUGUAAUGAGAUUGAGUACAAUGUAUCAAAAAUCAUGCCUUUACAAAUACAAUAAAUCUCAGCUUUGAUUGGCCAAUAUUAAGAUUAAAAUAUAUGAAACACAUCUGUAUGCAUAUAUCACUGCAAACUACAACCACAAUCCAUCACAUUUUACUCUUGUCCUAGGGUCAUAGGUGAGCUGAAGCCUAUCCCAUCUGAUUCUUGGUGAACAGUGGGGUACACGUCGACUAAUUUUCAACCAAUCACAGGGGUGUUACAAACGGGCUGACAUGUUCACAAACACAGCCCUCGACAACAAGUCAUGUCAAGUCGACUGAAGUUUCACGCUUGUCAGAAUUUGAGUUUCACAACACCUAAUGAAAAACAAGUCUUGGCAGUUCACUGCUUGACUCUGUGAGACAAUGCACUUGAGUUAGGAGUUGGGUCGAGACAAAACAAAUGCGUUUUGAGUGCAAAAUUCUUACCUCCAACUAAAAGAAAAUUAGCUUUUUGGCAUAUCACAUGCAGGCUCUAAAUGUUCUUUAAAAAUACUGACGUUUUAGCACACCACUUACCUGCUUAGAGCAGCUUUCAUAAGUCUUAAGUGAACAUUUUUAAUGUGACAAGAAUUGCAUUUAUUUCAUUUUUGGUUGCUGACCAAGAACCUUUGGAUGUUCAUCUUUGCUCACUUAAAAUGGUCCUUGUAAAUUUUGCUUUGUAAUUAUAGGGGUCUUAAAUUUCCAGUUACCCCUGAGUGUAAAUGCUUUAAAAUUCAGGUUAAAAACUAAUAAAAAAAUUUUCCCCUUUAAAAUCCAGGUUAAAAACUGCUAAAGAUUAGGGUCCUCUCAACAAUUUUAAUCAAUCAUUUAUUUGAUUAGUGGUUUUCGAAAACUACUUUUAUUUCUUCAUUUUACUUUUAAAUGUUAAAAUCUUUUGUUAAUGUGUUUUAAUGACGUCACUGUACAUUCUAAUAAUUUUGGAGGCUACUUUUGCUUUCUCCGCUUUGCUUCUGAAUGCCUGUUUAAAUA